UACGAAGGGGGCUAGCGUUGCUCGGAAUUACUGGGCGUAAAGCGCACGUAGGCGGUUUCUUAAGUCGGGGGUGAAAUCCUGGAGCUCAACUCCAGAACUGCCUUCGAUACUGAGAGACUUGAGUCCGGGAGAGGUGAGUGGAACUGCGAGUGUAGAGGUGAAAUUCGUAGAUAUUCGCAAGAACACCAGUAGCGAAGGCGGCUCACUGGCCCGGUACUGACGCUGAGGUGCGAAAGCGUGGGGAGCAAACAGG
rnacentral:rRNA from 1 species